rnacentral:lncRNA from 1 species
CCGUUUUUGCCGCGGUCGGCGAGGUCAGCCAUAGGAAGUUCGCGGUUGCGUUUUAGCGAAUAUUACAUUUGCUUUGUUGUUGUUGUUGUUGUUGUUGUUGUUGAUGGGGUGUUACACUGUGGGCGGCUCGCCCGAUAAAGGACGAGCACCGGGGGCCCUGACCGGGCCGAAACACAGCGCAGGGAUGGGCGCGCGGCUCUACGUCCGUCUGUUCCUCCGCGCGCGCCUCAUUCCCUCACUCACGCCAACCGGGACACUCUCCCAGCCCCUGGCUAGGCAACACAGCGGCGCAGAAGACUGCGAACCGAUCUAUACAAGAACCGCACGAAAGGCGCCACUUCGCCUGGCCUGCCUAAUCACGCGCUCUCGUCCCUCUUGACCGCCAAAACAAGGACAAGAAGAAAACACCACCGGGGGCAGGGGCUCUACUCGGGGGCCUCCUCUACACACUCAACAAAAACCAGGGCCCCACGCAGCCAGCAAGGCAAGGGAUACACGGAGGACCACGGGCCUGAGACGACGCACCACAAAAGCCGAAUACGGAUGCACAGAGAAGACCAACACAAAGCGAGUACUCGCACACUGGUCCUUGAAGGCCAGCUGUUCAACUACCACGAGCAACGAACAACGAAC